rfam:Virgibacillus pantothenticus strain DSM 26 super13, whole genome shotgun sequence.
CCAGUGCUACAACCGCGCAGAACAGGUUUUAAAACUCGUUAUAGAGUACCUGUAUGGCGAGUCUUAGUUUAUGG